AUUGAACGCUGGCGGCAUGCCUUACACAUGCAAGUCGAACGGCAGCACGGGAGCAAUCCUGGUGGCGAGUGGCGAACGGGUGAGUAAUAUAUCGGAACGUGCCCAGUCGUGGGGAUAACGUAGCGAAAGCUACGCUAAUACCGCAUACGAUCUAUGGAUGAAAGCGGGGGAUCGCAAGACCUCGCGCGAUUGGAGCGGCCGAUAUCAGAUUAGGUAGUUGGUGAGGUAAAGGCUCACCAAGCCGACGAUCUGUAGCUGGUCUGAGAGGACGACCAGCCACACUGGGACUGAGACACGGCCCAGACUCCUACGGGAGGCAGCAGUGGGGAAUUUUUGGACAAUGGGCGCAAGCCUGAUCCAGCAAUGCCGCGUGCA
rnacentral:rRNA from 1 species